CUGAGUUGCAAAACUCCCACCAUUGUGAACCUACCUAGACUGUUGCUUCGGCGGGGGGCACUGCCCUGCUUUCCUCUGGGAAGCACCCGCCGGAGGCAUUUAAACUCUGUAUUAUUGGCUUCUCUGAGUAACUUAUUUAAAUAAGUCA
rnacentral:misc_RNA from 2 species